UUCGCAAUGCCCGAAAGGGUGACGAAGCGACGCCGCGUGAGCGAAGAAGGCCCUAGGGUUGUAAAGCUCUGUCGAGGGUUAUGAAAUAUAGAUGGGUUAAUACCCCAUUUAUUUGACAAAAGCCCAAAAGGAAGCCACGGCUAACUCUGUGCCAGCAGCCGCGGUAAUACAGAGGUGGCGAGCGUUGUUCGGUAUUAUUGGGCGUAAAGAGCACGUAGGUGGUUUUGUAAGUCAGGUGUGAAAGCCUUCUGUUCAAAGGAAGAACGGCAUCUGAAACUACAGAUCUUGAGUGUAGGAGGGGAGAGUGGAACUUCUGGUGGAGCGGUGAAAUGCGUAGAUAUCAGAAGGAACGUCGGCGGCGAAAGCGACUCUCUGGCCUAUUACUGACACUCAGUGUGCGAAAGUUAGGGGAGCAAACGGGAUUAGAUACCCCGGUAGUCCUAGCCGUAAACGAUGGGCACUAAGUAGAGGGGUUUU
rnacentral:rRNA from 1 species